AAGUGGCUGGUGAGUGUCCUCAGUCCCAGCUCGGAUACAGAUGUGUCGGUGUGUCUUUGUUCCCUGCAGUAGUGCCCUCUCCAGCUCAGUCAUCAUCCACAUACCCCAGGACACUGUCCGAGCCAAAGAGAUCAUCGCCUACGUCAACACGCUGAAGACUCAGGUCAGCUAUUACGCAGAGAGGCUGUCUCAAGCUGCCAAAGACCAAUCGGCCAGCGGACUGGAGUGGACGCUCGCCAGUCUGGUUGACAAGACCCGUCAGCUGGUGGCAGUGUGCGGCUGCAAGCUGCUAGCUUCAGCUAUUUAGGCCCUGAACGCAGUACGAGUACAUCGCAACCAAAGCUUCUCCUUCCGCUGAGUCUGAACAAGUAGUGCUCCGCAAUGACAAGGAUACGCUGAGAGCAAAGUACAGCGGUCACAACAGCCAGUCGUCACUGCACGUGGACUGGCACGAAGAGGAGUGGGCCACGCCCACGGACUACAGCGCCAUGAUGAGCAACAAAGCCAAGAAGUCUAUUGACUUCCUUCUGAUGCAGGACACCGCCCCGACGAUAGCCACGGACGUGUCACUGCAGUACCGCCUCGACAUCGUCUUCUGCCAAACGGUCACCUACACAUAUUUUAAUUAUUGUAUGUCUGAGCUGAUGCGUUUAUCCUGGAGUGACUCAGAGUGAAGGAGAAGGCCAAGAAGAAGUGUAAAUAUCAUAGAAGCAAGGAGUUCAGAGCUCUACGACUUAGUGUCUUUAUGGUAUUUAUGUGUGUAAUGGAGACCAGGGGUUCCAUUACCCUUACUUGUAUUUUUAUUAAUUGACUGACUGAUUUGUAUUUAAAAACCGUAAUGAAGAAAAACACACACUGGUUGAUUGUGAUUCUUUAUUAGGCUUUUUGGGUUGUUAUUUAAGUGACUCGUUAAAGGUGAAGAGACAGGGGGACUGGCCAUCCUACCUGUGUCAGGAAAAGAACCUGUGUUAGAGCUGUUCACAUUUAAUCAUUUGUCUGUAACCUAAAUUAGUUGUAUAUGUAAAAAGAGAAGUGUUAACAGUACUCACUUUGUAAAGAGUAAAAGCAGCUCAAUCACCUGCUUAUGAGCUCCUGGAGAAAACCAAUGUGCCAGGCUAGGGGAGUGUGUGUUGGAGUGAUUUUGUUAAAAGUUGUCAUUAUUGUGCUUGGACCUUGUCUUGAACUGUAUGUUCAGAUAUUUUCUGUUCCUCCCCCACAUGUAGGAUGUUGGGGAUGUUACUAGCUAUAGUUUUCAACUGCAGGCACAAUCUAUGUAAGAUUCUGGUUUCCUUAUUUGGUAAGGAAUGUUCACUUCCUGCCCUUUAUGGGCUCACCAUGUAAAUGGUGGACUGUUAAAG